rnacentral:rRNA from 1 species
AGUUUGAUCCUGGCUCAGAAUCAACGCUGGCGGCGUGCCUCAGACAUGCAAGUCGAACGCGAAAGUUCCCUUCGGGGAGCAAGUAGAGUGGCGCACGGGUGAGUAACACGUAGGUAAUCUACCUUUGGAUUGGGAAUAACCACCGGAAACGGUGGCUAAUACCGAAUAAUGCAGCGGCACCUAAUGGUGACAGUUGUUAAAGCGGGGGAUCGCAAGACCUCGCGUCUGAAGAGGAGCCUGCGGCAGAUUAGCUAGUUGGUAAGGUAACGGCUUACCAAGGCGAUGAUCUGUAGCCGGCCUGAGAGGGCGGUCGGCCACACUGACACUGACAUACGGGUCAGACUCCUACGGGAGGCAGCAGUCGGGAAUUUUGGGCAAUGGGCGAAAGCCUGACCCAGC